rnacentral:rRNA from 1 species
UACAGAGGGUGCGAGCGUUGUCCGGAAUCACUGGGCGUAAAGGGCGCGUAGGUGGUUGGGUAAGCGUGUGGUGAAAGCCCGGGGCUCAACCCCGGGUCGGCCAUGCGAACUGCCCGACUGGAGCACGGUAGAGGCCAAUGGAAUUCCGGGUGUAGCGGUGGAAUGCGUAGAGAUCCGGAAGAACACCGGUGGCGAAGGCGGUUGGCUGGGCCGUGGCUGACACUGAGGCGCGCCAGCGUGGGGAGCAAACAGG